rnacentral:rRNA from 1 species
GUUAGGAAUAUUGGACAAUGGGCGCAAGCCUGAUCCAGCCAUGCCGCGUGAACGAUGAAGGCCUUCGGGUUGUAAAGUUCUUUAGCCGAUGAUUAUAAUGACUGUAGUCGGAAAAUAAGCCCCGGCUAACUUCGUGCCAGCAGCCGCGGUAAUACGAAGGGGGCGAGCGUUAUUCGGAAUCACUGGGCGUAAAGCGUGCGUAGGCGGUCUCGUAAGUUAGGAGUGAAAGCCCAGGGCUCAACCCUGGAAUUGCUCUCAAAACUGCAAGGCUCGAAUUCGGGAGAGGAUAGCGGAAUUGUCAGUGUAGCAGUGAAAUGCGUAGAUAUUGACAGGAACACCAGUGGCGUAAGCGGCUAUCUGGACCGAUAUUGACGCUGAGGCACGAAAGCGUGGGGAUCAAACAGGAUUAGAUACCCCGGUAGUCC